UACGUAGGUGGCAAGCGUUGUCCGGAUUUACUGGGCGUAAAGAGCGCGCAGGCGGUCGUUCAAGUCGAGUGUGAAAGCCCCCGGCUCAACUGGGGAGGGUCACGCGAUACUGAUCGACUGGAAGGCAGGAGAGGGUAGUGGAAUUCCCGGUGUAGUGGUGAAAUGCGUAGAUAUCGGGAGGAACACCAGUGGCGAAGGCGACUACCUGGCCUGUUCUUGACGCUGAGGCGCGAAAGCUAGGGGAGCAAACGGG
rnacentral:rRNA from 1 species